rnacentral:rRNA from 1 species
CCUACGGGUGGCAGCAGUGGGGGAUAUUGCACAAUGGGGGGAACCCUGAUGCAGCGACGCCGCGUGGGUGAAGAAGCGCCUCGGCGCGUAAAGCCCUGUCAGCAGGGAAGAAAAUGACGGUACCUGAAGAAGAAGCCCCGGCUAACUACGUGCCAGCAGCCGCGGUAAUAAGUAGGGGGCGAGCGUUAUCCGGAUUUACUGGGUGUAAAGGGGGCGCAGACGGCGAAGCAAGCCAGGAGUGAAAGCCCGGGGACCAACCCCGGGACUGCUCUUGGAACUGCGUGGCUGGAGUGCAGGAGGGGCAGGCGGAAUUCCUGGUGUAGCGGUGAAAUGCGUAGAUAUCAGGAGGAACACCGGUGGCGAAGGCGGAUUACUGGACGAUAACUGACGGUGAGGCGCGAAAGCGUGGGGAGCAAACAGGAUUAGAUACCCGGGUAGUC